AUUGAACGCUGGCGGCAGGCCUAACACAUGCAAGUCGAACGGUAACAGGGAUCAGCUUGCUGAUUCGCUGACGAGUGGCGGACGGGUGAGUAAUGUCUGGGAAACUGCCUGAUGGAGGGGGAUAACUACUGGAAACGGUAGCUAAUACCGCAUAACGUCGCAAGACCAAAGAGGGGGACCUUCGGGCCUCUUGCCAUCGGAUGUGCCCAGAUGGGAUUAGCUAGUAGGUGGGGUAACGGCUCACCUAGGCGACGAUCCCUAGCUGGUCUGAGAGGAUGACCGGCCACACGGGAACUGAGACACGGUCCAGACUCCUACGGGAGGCAGCAGUGGGGAAUAUUGCACAAUGGGCGCAAGCCUGAUGCAGCCAUGCCGCGUGUAUGAAGAAGGCCUUCGGGUUGUAAAGUACUUUCAGCGGGGAGGAAGGGAGUAAAGUUAAUACCUUUGCUCAUUGACGUUACCCGCAGAAGAAGCACCGGCUAACUCCGUG
rnacentral:rRNA from 1 species